rnacentral:rRNA from 1 species
ACUAGGUCGAAGCGUUAUUCUUGCAUUUAUUAGGCUUGAAUAGAUGGCGUAGCGGCUGCAUAGUACGGUUGCUGAAUAGGUAGCAGCAUGAACUGUUUUUACUAUGCCCAUCCGAUACUGUUGAGCUUGAGAUAUUUGAGGCAGCUAGAAUAUCUGGUGUAGCGGUGAAAUGCUUAGAUACCGGAAGGAAUACCAAUUGCGAAGGCAGGUUGCUACGAAUAAAACUGACGCUGAUGCACGAAAGCGUGGGGAUCAAACAGGAUUAGAUACCCUGGUAGUCCACGCAGUAAACGAUGAUUACUAGUUGUUGGAUGAAUAGUUCAGUGACCAAGGGAAACCGAUAAGUAAUCCACCUGGGGAGUACGCCGGCAACGGUGAAACUCAAAGGAAUUGACGGGGGUCCGCACACGCGGUGGAGCAUGUGGUUUAAUUCGAUGAUACGCGAGGAACCUUACCUAGGCUAGAAUGUGAGCGAAUGUAUCAGAGAUGGUACAGUCAGCAAUGACGCGAAACAAGGUGCUGCAUGGCCGUCGUCAGUUCGUGCCGUGAGGUGUUGGGUUAAGUCCCGCAACGAACGCAACCCCUAUUGUCUGUUGCCAUCAGGUUAUGCUGGGGACUCAGGCAAGACUGCCUACGCAAGUAGAGAGGAAGGAGGGGAGGACGUCAGGUCAUCAUGGCCCUUACGCCUAGGGCGACACACGUGCUACAAUGGUAGGUACAGAGUGCAGCGAGCUGGCAACAGUAAGCGAAUCACAAAAAGCCUAUCACAGUUCGGAUUGGGGUGUGCAACUCGACCCUAUGAAGCUGGAAUCGCUAGUAAUCGCAUAUCAGCCAUGAUGCGGUGAAUACGUUCCCGGACCUUGUACACACCGCCCGUCAAGCCAUGGGAGUUGGGUAGACCUGAAGCGGAAGGUAAAAGACUUCGUUAGGGUAGAACCAGUGACUGGGGUAAGUGUAACAAGGUAACCUAGGGC